rnacentral:rRNA from 1 species
UCUGUAAACCUCUUUUCUCAAGAAAGAAGUUCUGACGGUACUUGAGGAAUAAGCAUCGGCUAACUCCGUGCCAGCAGCCGCGGUAAUACGGGGGAUGCAAGCGUUAUCCGGAAUCAUUGGGCGUAAAGCGCCUGUAGGUUGUUUAAUAAGUCUGUUGUUAAAGACUAGGGCCUAACCCUGGAAAAGCAAUGGAAACUACUAGACUUGAGUAUGGCAGGGGUAGGGGGAAUUUCUAGUGUAGCGGUGAAAUGCGUAGAUAUUAGAAAGAACACCAGUGGCGAAAGCGCCCUACUGGACCAUCACUGACACUGAGAGGCGAAAGCUAGGGGAGCAAAAGGGAUUAGAUACCCCUGUAGUCCUAGCCGUAAACGAUGGAUACUAGAUGUUGUGCUUUUUUGUGCAGUGUCGCAGCUAACGCGUUAAGUAUCCCGCCUGGGGAGUACGCUCGCAAGGGUGAAACUCAAAGGAAUUGACGGGGGCCCGCACAAGCGGUGGAGCAUGUGGUUUAAUUCGAUGCA